rnacentral:rRNA from 1 species
GGGAAACUCACCAGGUCCAGACAUGACUAGGAUUGACAGAUUGAUAGCUCUUUCUUGAUUUUAUGGGUGGUGGUGCAUGGCCGUUCUUAGUUGGUGGAGUGAUUUGUCUGGUUAAUUCCGAUAACGAACGAGACCUUAACCUGCUAACUAGUCAGGCUGGCUUCGGCUGGUCUCUGACUUCUUAGAGGGACUAUCAGCGUUUAGCUGUUGGAAGUUUGAGGCAAUAA